GCAGUCUGUUUGUUUUCUCAAAUAGUAUUAUGUGCUUGAAUAUGACCUUUAGCCUUGUUCUCCAGCAUCAUUCUUCUUAAUGUUUAUGAAGAUAUUUAUUAUUUGAUAGCAGUACUUGUGUUGAUAUCAAAUAAAUCAGCCCCAUCCUUAAAAAAUAAAAAAUAUAAAGUAAAAAAGAAAAAACCCAUGCUGAGGCAGUGAGAAAAGAAACCAGGAUUGAACUUAACAUUGGAUGUGAAUUUAAAUAGAAUUUGGAUGAAAUAGGAUAUGGUUCAUUGACUUCUAAUGCUGGGUUUUAUUGGGUUCGCAAUUCAGUUGCAUAAGCUUGGCUACUAAAUAAAGUAAAUAAUCCUAUUCCAAUGCAUAACUUGAUGACUAUACACUUUGUGGCAUUUGUUGGAGCUUGCUAGUUCUGUUCUUACAUUCUCUGAUUAAUUUGUUCAUUUAAGCUUCACAAAACAAAUUUUUAACUGGCUUUUUUUGUGCGUUCCUAUUAAUUCCUGUUAAUUUUAUUAUUCUUUUCGAAGUUCAGGGAUUUGGAAAAUGGUUGAGUAA
rnacentral:misc_RNA from 1 species